rnacentral:tRNA from 1 species
GCCGGGGUGGCUCAGUCGGUUGAGCGUCUGACUUUGACUCAGGUCAUGAUCUCACGGUUCGUGGGUUCGAGCCCCACGUCGGGCU